GAGUCCCCUUUUAUCGGGCGGAGAUGCGCUGAGGCGCAAGGUGCUGGCGACACUACCUGGUACAGGGAACGCCUCCUGGCUCGCAGCCAGAGGCCGAUCCUGUGGCGAGCUCGGUAACGACGAGCCGUCGCAACGCGUGGAAAGGAGUGGGCCGGCUUAGCCGGCUUAAGGUACAUGCUAUCCGCUGGGAAACCAGUCUUCUGCAGAGAGACCCGAUAAGUCGAACUGUAGGGGGGCCCCGAAGAGAUUCGGGGCUGGGAGGUCGGUUUAUACCGGUCCUAAAUGCUGUGAUGCCCUUAGAUGUUCUGGGCUGCACGCGCGCUACACUGACAGAGCCAGCGAGUACUUCCUUGACAGAGAUG
rnacentral:rRNA from 1 species